GACGAACCGAGCGAACGUUGUUCGGAAUCACUGGGCUUAAAGGGCGCGUAGGCGGGCUGCCGCGUCCGGGGUGAAAUCCUCCGGCUCAACCGGGGAACGGCCUCGGAUACGGGCGGCCUCGAGGGGGGUAGGGGCAUCUGGAACUGUGGGUGGAGCGGUGAAAUGCGUUGAUAUCCACAGGAACUCCGGUGGCGAAGGCGAGGUGCUGGACCCCAUCUGACGCUGAGGCGCGAAAGCCAGGGGAGCAAACGGG
rnacentral:rRNA from 1 species